rnacentral:lncRNA from 1 species
UAGUAACACCCAGGUUAGUCCUACUUAAUUCUUACCUGCAGCCAAAGUGGACUUAGCAUCUCCUUGCAUGCCUGGUAAAGUCAAGGGUUUUCAGCCAGGGCCUGUGUAUAAAGCAGAAGCAGCACAGAGUCUGGUUUGAAGCUUAGUGCUUGGGUUCAGACAGUUGUGGGUUACAAUCCCUUCUACACAUGUUCUCUGUGGAAACCAUUUGGUUCUCUGUGCUUGGAACUCGCCUGCAACGGGACAAAGCCAUCUCACCUAGACUGUUGUUAUGAAGAUUGAAUUAGGUGAUUCUGAGAGGCAUUUAUGCGUCCUCCCUGAGUAACAAUCCAUGAAAAGUGGGCGUCAUUGCUGAAGCUCAAGGAAGAAAUAUGAAAUUUGAUUAUAUCCUUAUUCACGGCAUUGGGUCACCAACUCAGCACUUUUUAUGAAAGUAGCAUCUGACCUGGCAAAGGCUGUGUCAUCUUAUUACCUCAGAAAGACAAAUUUACGGGGUCAGACGAUGGAUGGCUUGUAGAUUUCUCAAUGGGCUGGAAGGAAGGAGAGAAAAAGAGAGACAGGAGAGAGUACACAUUUAAUUCUGCUUCCCCUAGGGUGAUAUUUCCUUCCUCCCCUUCCAGGGUUCUCAAAAAGGCAUUCUAGGAAGUCCUGUAAAAUACAUGCUCAUAAAAAUCUCAUAAUUUCCACAAAUUGUUGAGAAUUUAAAACUCGGUUGGGAGUUUGCUGUUUCAGCCUGAGACACCGGGGUCACGUUUCAGUGCCUGCAGUCUUGAGACAGUACCAGGCAUCUGGGAUGAAGCUGAGGAAAGAAGAUGUGGGGGCCCUGCUGGCCUGCUCCUUCUCUCGAAAGACGCUUACCGGCUGCUGGUGUGUCACAGGGCUUUAGGAUUUGGAAAAACAGAGGGAUUUAAAAGAAGAUAGAAUGGUCAGAAUUUCGAGAACUGUGUGCUGAAGUGCCAUCUUUAGGGUGCUCAUAACACGGCCUUACAACAUUAGAGGUGCUGGAAUCAUGGAAGAGGCAUCUGGACUCUGUAAUGUCCUUCCCCCUGGAAAAUCUGCUCCAGAAGUGGGGGAUUGGGAGCUGUCAACAUAUGAGCCAUCUUUUGCUCCGUUCAAGAUGGUAGGGGCAUUCUCAACAUGCCCCUCACUCUGAUUCUGCCUCACUUUUAUUUUAGAAUUUUCCACUGCCUUUUCUGGAAUGUGCUUUUUCAACCCUCAAAAUCUGUAGAGAAGAAAUAAGCAGAAACCGAAAUGGCUUUCUGGUGUUCUCCAUGCUCUCAGCUUACUGGAAAAUCGAGCCGCAGGCUCGAGGCUGGACUUUAAGGCAGAGCACUGCAAUUAUAGUGCUAUGGCCUUGGCUUCCUUUCUCAUCACCCAGGUACAGUCCUGCAGUCCUCAGAGGAUGCCAGUCCCACACAGGGGGAUCCUUCUCCAUAGGAAAACCGAGGAACAAUGCAGGUUCGAGGUGCACAGUGGCUAAGCACACUCAGUCCUCAAGAUCUUUCCUCUCAAAUGCUAAUGCUACCUUCAGAUGGGCUGCUGCCUGCUACCAUUUCAACAUUGAGUCCUUUAAGAUGCCAUCAGAGAGAGGGGAAGCAAGAGGCCAAGAAAAAUGAAAGGAGUACAACAGGAAACCACGUUCCAUUAGAUAGCAAUCCUGGGAAAACCAUUGAAAGAAGAAACAUUCUGAGCAUGCUUUGUGAAUAGAAGAGUGGAUUUAAACAAAUUAACCAACAUUUAAAUUCCUCAUCUGUGGGUUAUUGCCAGAAUAAAUUCAGUGCUUGCCUUGGCCAGAGUUUGUUUGGUUUUAAGGGGCCAAACCCCACCACAGCGUAGUAAAAGGAAGCCUUACCAGAAAUACACAGGAAGC